AUCCCUGGUAGGGGCCCAAUCGCAAUACCAUUAAAACGCAAUUGUCCUAAAUUAAAAUGGGAAAUCCAAAGCUGCAGUAGCCAAAUAGGCCUGUCUAGCAGACAACAAUCUGAAUUGGAUGCCUCCCUGAAGAUAAGCCAUUUUACUGCAGAACAUGAUGAUGUCUUUAUCGGCGUGACGAUAAACAAUAGGCUUUUCACAGCCAGGGGACGCAGACUAAUUCAAGUCUUGAAGAAACAUCAGGAAGAUGUGCAGUGCUGCAAAUCCCACAGGGACCAGAGGGAUGGGCCUUUAAAGGGGCUCUGCAAGUGAACAUGAAAACAAGGAUAUGGCCCAGGCAAAACAAAGAUCUCCUGGUCCAGCCUGAUAUCUCCCUGACUCAAUGGGAGGGGUCUCCAGGGGCCACCUGGAGCCUGAGGUGUUCAGGGGCCACAGCUUCACCCUCACUUAUUCCACUCAGCCACAGUACCCAGGAGGCUCUUUCCACUUCACGUUCACCAGCUCCAACAGAACCCAGACAGCUGUAAAUCACUCUGCUGCCUUCCUCUUCCCUGCUGUAGAUGACUCCCACCAAAGGAAUUACAGCUGUGUUUAUGAGAAUUAUGUUUUCUCUCAUAACUUCUACUCUGAGAGUGAGUUCCUCUCCCUCACAGCCUCUCCUCUGCCCACCUUCAUCAUCAGACAUGUUGUAGUGCUGCUGAUCCUACUGACAGCCAUCACUGCCUUCUACCUGUACUUCAAGCGUGUUGUGCUCCAUAACAGCAAGGUGGGUCACCUCCCUCAUGCCGCCACUUUAGGGUAUUUUUCAGCAGGGCCUGUGGAAGGACUCCAGAUAACCUGAGUGUUACAAAGGGAAAAGGUGUCACCCAUCUUCCCCAUUAUCCCCUGUGCAUUUAUACCUGUGUUCUCUGUUUGUCUGUUGCCAGUUCAUCUUGUCUUGUCAAGCCUACCAGCGUGUUUUUCGUACUCCUGUUUCCUUGAGCCCCUGUUUUCUAGUUAUCCCGGUUUUGAUCAUUCUGCCCGCCCUCAGCCUGCCUGCUGUUCUGUACCUUUUGCCACUGUCUUGGAUUGCUGACCUCUACCUGAGCCUGCCUGCCGCUCUGUACCUUACGGACUCUGCCCUGGACUACCGAUCCCUGCCUGCCCUUGACCUGUCCGUUGCCUGCCCCUGCUUAUAUAAUAAACGUCCGUUAUUCGAACUGUCUGCAUCUGGGUCUUUUCCUAAGCCGUGAUAGAGAGGGAGUUAGAUUUUUAGUAACAGUGUUUUCCAGACAAGCGUGAAUAGAUGGCUACCAGAUUGUGUUAGUCAUAUUUGCUAACAUUAGCCAGCUUAUGUUAGCUAACGUUUGUCAACGUUAUAACGAACAGACAAACAUGUUUACUCUGCUGAAGGUAGCUACUGUACCAAUCUAGCAGUGACUACCAGGACUG
rnacentral:lncRNA from 1 species